AUAGGAAUCAAUUCAAGAGUAUAUAUUUGCCUUCCCAUUUGUUUUCUUUGCUAAAACACAAAGCAGUCUCAUACGCAUCAUAAGGUAAAUUGUGUACAGAAAAAGAAGGAAAUCAAAUCCCAAAAGGUGAUGUGGAAAAUGCAAUAAUUUUUCCUGCUUUAUUGAGGAAUGAUUGACAAAAAUGGUAUAUAUCUACUCUCUUCACAAAUUUCAAGUAUAUAAUACGGUUCUAUUAACUAUAGUCACUAUGCUGUACAUUAGCUCUCCAGAGCUUAUUCAUUCUUCCUAACAGACACCAAACAUCUCCCUAUUUCCCCCACGUCCCAGGCCCUGGCAACCACCAUCCUACUCUGCUUCUGUGAGUUUGGCUUUUUGAAAUUCCACACAUCUGUGAGAUCUUACAGUAUUUGUCUUUCUGUAUGUGGCUUAUUUCAGUUAGCAUAAUGGUCCUCCUGGUUCAUCCACAUUUUUUCAAAUGACAAGAUUUCCUUCUUUUUUAAAGCUGAAUAAUAUUCCAUUGUGUGUGUGUAUACAUAUAUACACAUACAUAUGUAUACUACAUUUUUUUAUCUGUUCAAAUGUUCAAAUGUGAUUUUGAUCUGUUGUGAUUUUGGAUCUUAGCACCCAGGCAUCCCAUCAAUACCAAAUUUGAAAGAUUAGUUGCUUAUUGCAUGUGUGUAAAAAUACUCAUAAACUUGAGGGAAGUUCCACAGGCUAAUCCUAGUUUGAAGUCUUACAAGUAUGAACAAUGAGAUACUUAGGAUUUACUGGAAAGAGCACAAGACUCGGAGUCAAAAAAUUUGGGUCUGCUCCAUCUGCAUUAUUUACAAGUUCAUGAUCCUGGGCAAACCAUCACUCCAGCCUGAGUUUUGUCACCUGUGAAUUGGGGAUAAAAUUGGUUACUGCAUAGAGUUGCUAUUAAAAUCAAAUGAGAUAAUGGACUAUAUAUGAGAUUGUCUGGUAAAAUGUAAAGCCCAAUACAAAUGUUAAAUACUAUUGUCACUAUUACAACAAUUGGUCACAAAGGACAUCUGUAAAAAAAAUAGAAAUGGUAUAAUGAAAAUUCAUCCUACUAACAAAAAUAUAACCAAGCAGAAGCACCUUUCUAUUUAAAAAGAAUGAAUAUGAUCCUUCCCAGGACAUAAAAUAUGGUACUUGACCUCACACAACUCACAGUGACAGUGGAACCAAUCUCCCCCUGUGUGAUGACUAAUAUCCACAUGUGCCUAGCAUGUACCUCAAUUCUCAGAUUCAGGUAAGAAAAAGAUAUGUUUGAGAGAAUAGAUUAAUGAAAGUAGAUUAGUGUGAUCCAUAGGAAGUGAAAAAAAAAUAUUUAAGAAUGCCAAGUGUUGUCCUUUGGAUUUCAGAUCCCCCUGGAACUGAAACAAAGAAGGCUAGAAAGAAGGAAGAGAAUAAGUUGUGUAGAAGGGUCUGUAGAAAGAGGCAUGGGGUUCCAAGGAGGGAAGGACAUUAGGAAAGUAGCAUGUUGUAAAGGAAAGAGCCCUGCACCAGGAGUCAAGAAACAGCUCUAGUCCCAGCACUGCCACAGGCUCUCUAUGAAACCCAGGGCAGGCCACUGCCCCUCUCUGGGCAUCAGUUUCUCUACCUACAAUACAAAGGAGGCAUUGUAAAACCAGUUAGCACAGCUAUUCAGUCAUUUACAAAAUAUUUAUUAAGCGUUUAUUAUGCAAUAGGCAGUGUUCUAGUCACAGAGACGUGGGAGAAAAUAAAAACAGACACAGUUCCUACUGCCAUGGAUCUGGCAUUCUAAAUGAUCUCCCUCCAACUCAAAGACCUGGCACACUAGAACUCUGACUGUAGGCUGUGGUGAGGCCACAGUAGACAGGCAAAAUGGCUAAAUGACUGAAGAGCAGACAGCGUGACCUCUUCAAAGGCAGUCUAUUUUUUUUAAGCAGAAUCAAGUGCCCCUCAUUCUCAUAUUGCCCCACUUCAGUUCCUGGGCCUUGGAGCUUAAUACAGAUCAUGGCAUCCAACUGACUUUUAUUCUGCUUUUUUUUUUUUUUUUGAGACGGCAUCUCGCUCUGUUGCCCAGGCUGGAGUGCAGUGGCAUGGUCUCGGCUCACUGCCAUCUCCACCUCCUGGGUUCAUGCCAUUCUCCCGCCUCAGCCUCCCGAGUAGCUGGGACUACAGGUGCCCGCCAACACACCAGGCUAAUUUUUUGUAUUUUUAGUAGAGAUGGGGUUUAAUCAUGUUAG
rnacentral:lncRNA from 1 species